AGCCAGCUAUUGUGGGUGUGUGUGUGUGUGUGUGUGUGUGUGUGUGUGUGUGUGUGCGUGCAGGUGCAGGGGGCGUGAACGAGUUACGUCAUUAACUAGGGCACCAGCAUUAGCGAGUCAGUGUGGUCCUGCAGGCACUUAUAUACGCACCUAUAGGGGGUCCUAUUGAAGGUAGCACUGUGUGGCUAAGCUAACGCGAGUAGCAGCGUGGGCUGGAGACGAUUCUCUGAGCUAGUGAAGUACUCAGUGAGAACAGGAGUGCCCGAGGCUGAGCGACUGUGAGUGGCUAUAAAUAGCAACAGUCUGUGGUUGUGCCUGGUGACGUGAUAUAAGAGGUAGGCUGGCUAAUUAUAUGAUAUGCUGGGGUUAAGUUACACUGUUUGUUUGUUAACUCUUGGCUAAGCUGCUUGUUAAUCACUACUUAUUCUGACUAACUUUUUUUACACUCUGUUUGUUUGUUAGCUCUUGGCUAAGCUGCUUGUUAAUUCCUACUUAUCCUGACUAACUUUGAAGGUAUUUUUGAUCAGGUAGGCUUAAACUAUUGCACUUUUUAAAGUUCUGUAAUAGUUUGAUUAUUUUAGCUUUGGUUGCUACCACUAUAUUUAACUGCUACCACUAUAGUUAACACUAGUACUCUUUCGAAUAGUUAUUUGGGGGCUCUAGGUAAGAUGUAUGUCUCCAUAUGCUCUGUAAUAGUAGGCAAGUGUCUGCUGCAUUCUAAUUGUACAUUAUUAGAGACACUAUGCUUUUGAGCUGCUUUAGCUCCAUGUGCUGUGCCUGUAAUAGUUUGAGUGUUUUAGCUUUGGUUGCUGCUAUUAUAUUUAACUGCUACUACUACAUUUAACACUAGUACCAUUUCUAGAAUGGUCACUUGGGGACUUUAGGUAAGAUAUGUCUCUAUGUUCUGAACAGAAUGCAAAAUGGGUUUUAUAUCAUGUUUCAAUUGCUGUUGUGUGAUUUAUUUCUAAUAGAGGUUUAAAGCUGCUACCCUGUCCAUGGGCGAAGUUAGCAUUCCACCUUGAGUUAAGUGAGAGCCACAGUUCCAGUGGUUGCCAGUUGCUGUUUUCUGCUCUUUUUUUGUAUUUCUUUUUUUUAUUUUGUUUAUUCUACCAUAAAUUUUGUAGCACUAAGUGUAUUAACUGCUCAGGUAUUUUUAAGUAUUGUGGU